rnacentral:rRNA from 1 species
AUGAACGCUGGCGGCGUGCCUAAUACAUGCAAGUCGCGCGAACAGACGAGGAGCUUGCUCCUCUGACGUUAGCGGCGGACGGGUGAGUAACACGUGGAUAACCUACCUAUAAGACUGGGAUAACUUCGGGAAACCGGAGCUAAUACCGGAUAAUAUAUUGAACCGCAUGGUUCAAUAGUGAAAGGCGGUUUUGCUGUCACUUAUAGAUGGAUCCGCGCCGCAUUAGCUAGUUGGUAAGGUAACGGCUUACCAAGGCAACGAUGCGUAGCCGACCUGAGAGGGUGAUCGGCCACACUGGAACUGAGACACGGUCCAGACUCCUACGGGAGGCAGCAGUAGGGAAUCUUCCGCAAUGGGCGAAAGCUUGACGGAGCAACGCCGCGUGAGUGAUGAAGGUCUUCGGAUCGUAAAACUCUGUUAUUAGGGAAGAACAAAUGUGUAAGUAACUAUGCACGUCUUGACGGUACCUAAUCAGAAAGCCACGGCUAACUACGUG